rnacentral:rRNA from 1 species
GAUGAACGCUAGCGGCAGGCCUAAUACAUGCAAGUCGAACGAUAGUGAGAAGCUUGCUUCUCACGAAAGUGGCGCACGGGUGCGUAACGCGUAUGCAACCUACCUUAAUCAGGGGGAUAGCCCGAGGAAAUUCGGAUUAACACCGCAUAAAAUCACAGUAUAGCAUUAUACAAUGAUCAAAUAUUUAUAGGAUUAAGAUGGGCAUGCGUGACAUUAGUUAGUUGGCGGGGUAACGGCCCACCAAGACCACGAUGUCUAGGGGAUCUGAGAGGAUGACCCCCCACACUGGUACUGAGACACGGACCAGACUCCUACGGGAGGCAGCAGUAAGGAAUAUUGGUCAAUGGAGGCAACUCUGAACCAGCCAUGCCGCGUGCAGGAAGACAGCCCUCUGGGUCGUAAACUGCUUUUAUUCGGGAAUAAACCUAUCUACGUGUAGAUAGCUGAAUGUACCGAAGGGAUAAGGAUCGGCUAACUCCGUGCCAGCAGCCGCCGUAA